rnacentral:misc_RNA from 1 species
GUAGGGAAGCAAUUUAAUGAGGGAUGGCGUUUAGCCUGAACACCCUGCUUGACAGUGCUGGGGGGCUUCUAGGACUUGGGGGAGACCCAUUGGCCACACCGAUAGGACGUCAGGUUCUAGCUGCAACCUCCGAGAAUCUGAAUUCUAUUGAUUGGAACUUGAACCUUAGUAUUGUAGAUCAAGUAAAUAAUACAGACGAUGGUCCGAGGGAGGCUGUACGGGCAAUACGACGCAGAAUACAAAAUACAGCUGGUAAGGAUGAAGGAAGUGUAUUCUAUUCUUUAGUUCUGACGGAAACUCUGGCAAAAAACUGCGGGAAACGGUUUCAUCUUCUUAUCUGCAGCAGGGAAUUUUCUAAUGAGUUGGUUAACAAGAUUAUCCCUCUCUGUGCUGACGGUGAAUCUCAGUUGGUCCAGGACAAGAUACUGUCCUUGGUUCAGUCCUGGGCUCACGCAUUCUCCGUAGACCCUGAACUGCAGGGUGUAGCUGAACUAUACCUGGAGCUCAAGAAGAAAGGUGUUGAAUUUCCUCCUCCUUCAGAUGAUGAUAUACUUCUAGUUCAGAAAAAUCAGAUGGAGUUUUCAUCUCCUGUAAGUAGUUCAAGUAGUAGUAGUGUUACAGUAUCCCCAGCCAGGCAGAGUGUUGGGUCUCGACCAGCUUCUCGAGCUAAAUCUGCGGACCAAUCCCGGCGAAUGCAGGCUGCUAGACGCAUCCUGUCUGGAAAUCUAACCCAGAGACAGAUGAUAAAACUAAAUGAAGACCUUAGGAGAAGCGAGGAUAGUAUUAGUAUACUCAGUGAACUAUUAACAGAGCUUAUUCCUGGACAGGAGGAUCCUGAGGAUUUAUCCAUGCUUCUUGAGCUAGAGAUCAACUGUAAAGAGAUGCAGGCUCGGGUUCUGCAGCUUCUCCAGAUCCUGGAGGAGAGGGAGAUAGUGCAGAGGUUGUUGGAUAUAAACGACAACUUCAACAAUGCCUUCAUCAGGGUUGAAAGAUUUAAAAGAAGUCAACCUUCCAACACGAAGAUAAUAGAACCUGAACCUACUAAACCAGAGCUUAUACCACCAACAGGAGGUGAAAUACCUCGACCUGUGAGUGGAGAUGCUGCUGCGCUGGUCAGCCGACCUGAUGAUUUUCAAGAAAUAGAGAAAUGGAUGAAAACGGAGGACCUGAAUGAACUGGAGGAACUUGAGGAGAUGAGGAAGGAGUUUGAGGCAGAAGGAGUUCUACCUGGAGUCUCAGGAAUUGCUACUGGAGUACCUGGCGUACCUGUAGGUUCUCCCAGGGCAGGUAAACCUGGAGGUCAGGAGGAUUCAACAACUGAGGAGUUUGAAAAAUUUCUUGUAAAAAGAGCAGAGGCAGUAGAUCAACUCUAAUUAAUCUGAACGGGUUGGAGAGGUUCUGUUUUAGUGAAGUUAACAAAAGAGGGAGGAAAAGAAGAGUUUGUAAUUCAAAACGAGGUGUUAAGACGUGGGCUGAUGGCACGUCCAGCUAUGCAGUCAUCAGUCAUCACAGUACUCACGCUACUGAAGUUCUAAAUAUUUUAUGUUUCACACUUGAACUAUCAUAUUUGUUCAAUUUACAAAAAUGUUGAUGAAAUUUCUACAUGUUAACUUUUAAUCUAGUCAUUGUGAUAUUGUUAAUAUUUAGUAUAGUGUAUGCACUUUACACGCAUCUUAUCUAAAUUCAAAUCGGAAAGCAAAAAAUAAUUGCCAAAAAUGUUCUUCUAUUUCUUAAUUUUAUUUCCUGAUGUAAUUAAUCCUUGUCCUAAUUAAUUAAUUAAUAAUUCAUCUGAUGUAUACAAUGCAUGAAUGUUGCAGA